rnacentral:lncRNA from 1 species
UACAUGUACAUGUGUGCAGGUUAAAAUUAUGGCUUACAUGAAAGUCUAAUCCUGAAUAAAUCAACACUGACAGUACAAUAACUGGACAGGCUAUCUUUAAAACAAAAGUUUUUAGCUUAAACAUAGAUCUUGAUUCCAAAAAUAAUACAAAUUAAGUCUUUCAAAACGUACCUGAAGUUGUUUACUAUACAAAGUUUUACUCUCAACCGGGAUCCAAGAAAGAAUAAGCAAAGUUCUGAGGGUUGCUAAAAAUCAGAAAGGUUAAAAUUUGCUUAUGAGGAAACACCAACUCUUCAUUGAGAAUUUGAACUAUUUAUUUCCUGAUUCGGAACUACACUAUAGUUUUACCAACAUCCAAAACACUACAUGUCAAUUAUGCAACAUAUGUUCCAAGAGUGCAACAGGUGACAUAAACAACUAACC